GGGUUUAAAGGGUGCGUAGGCGGAAUGGUAAGUCAGUGGUGAAAUACUGCAGCUCAACUGUAGAAUUGCCAUUGAUACUGUCAUUCUUGAGUAUAGAUGAGGUAGGCGGAAUGAGUAGUGUAGCGGUGAAAUGCAUAGAUAUGACACAGAACGCCAAUUGCGAAGGCAGCUUACUAAGCUACGAUUGACGCUGAGGCACGAAAGCGUGGGGAGCGAACAGGAUUAGAUACCCUGGUAGUCCACGCCGUAAACGAUGAUCACUCGCUGUUUGCGAUACACUGUAAGCGGCUGAGCGAAAGCAUUAAGUGAUCCACCUGGGGAGUACGAUCGCAAGGUUGAAACUCAAAGGAAUUGACGGGGGCCCGCACAAGCGGAGGAACAUGUGGUUUAAUUCGAUGAUACGCGAGGAACCUUACCUGGGCUUAAAUGUAGAUUGCAUAGAUUGGAAACAGUCUUUCUCUUCGGAGCUAUUUACAAGGUGCUGCAUGGUUGUCGUCAGCUCGUGCCGUGAGGUGUCGGGUUAAGUCCCAUAACGAGCGCAACCCCUAUCGUUAGUUGCUAGCAGGUAAUGCUGAGGACUCUAGCGAGACUGCCACCGUAAGGUGAGAGGAAGGUGGGGAUGACGUCAAAUCAGCACGGCCCUUAUGUCCAGGGCUACACACGUGUUACAAUGGUCGGUACAAAGGGCAGCUACACAGCGAUGUGAUGCCAAUCCCUAAAGCCGAUCCCAGUUCGGAUUGGAGUCUGCAACCCGACUCCAUGAAGUUGGAUUCGCUAGUAAUCGGAUAUCAGCCAUGAUCCGGUGAAUACGUUCCCGGGCCUUGUACACACCGCCCGUCAAACCAUGGAAGCUGGG
rnacentral:rRNA from 1 species